AUAUCUCUCUGUACGGGAAGGAUGAGAAGCUUCUACCAAGGUUCGAUUCGAGCGCAGCGAGAAAGCGUUGCCGCAGGCAACGACCCGAAGGGCGAAGCGCGCAGCGCUGAGUCAUCCUUCCCC
rnacentral:sRNA from 1 species